GUGAAAUUGAUCACAUAACAAACAUUUACCCCUUUGUUUGACCGUGAAAAAUUUCUCCCAUCCCCUUUGUUGUCGUUAAGACAUACAAGAAGAGACCAUGCUUAUCCCGGCAUGGUCUUUUU
rnacentral:sRNA from 1 species